UGGAGGCUGUGCGUCAUCCCCA
rnacentral:miRNA from 1 species